GGGACUGUGGCUCAGCAGUAGAGCGCUUGCCUAACACGUACGAGGCCCUGGGUUCGAUCCACAGCACCA
rnacentral:tRNA from 1 species